rnacentral:rRNA from 1 species
GAUGAACGCUGGCGGCGUGCCUAAUACAUGCAAGUCGAGCGAACAGACGAGGAGCUUGCUCCUCUGACGUUAGCGGCGGACGGGUGAGUAACACGUGGAUAACCUACCUAUAAGACUGGGAUAACUUCGGGAAACCGGAGCUAAUACCGGAUAAUAUAUUGAACCGCAUGGUUCAAUAGUGAAAGACGGUUUUGCUGUCACUUAUAGAUGGAUCCGCGCCGCAUUAGCUAGUUGGUAAGGUAACGGCUUACCAAGGCAACGAUGCGUAGCCGACCUGAGAGCGAAGGGGGCCAGAGGAGGGCAAUGUCCAGAGAGGGAGGAAAGCGGGAGGGAGCAGCGGGGAGUGUUGAGGGAUGGUCGUAGGACAGAAGAAUGAAAGUAGGGGGAAUGAAGAAGGGUUUAGGAACGUAAAACUUUUUUGACGGUACAGAAAAAAAGUGCAAAUAACUAGGCACAGCAAGAAGGUGCGGAAUCAGAUCGCAAAGACUAACUACGCC